GAUGAACGCUAGCGGGAGGCCUAAUACAUGCAAGUCGAGCGGUAGAGUGACUUCGGUUGCUUGAGAGCGGCGAACGGGUGAGUAACGCGUACACAAUCUACCUUUAAGAGGGGAAUAGCCCUGGGAAACUGGGAUUAAUGCCCCCAUGGCAUCACGAGACGGCAUCGUUUUGUGAUUAAAGCUGAGGUGCUUAGAGAUGAGUGUGCGUCUGAUUAGCUAGUUGGUGCGGUAACGGCGCACCAAGGCGACGAUCAGUAGGGGGCGUGAGAGCGUGGACCCCCCANACGGGGUACUGAGACACGGACCCCGAUCCUACGGGAGGCAGCAGUAAGGAAUAUUGGUCAAUGGGAGAAACUCUGAACCAGCCAUCCCGCGUGCAGGAAGAAUGCCCUAUGGGUUGUAAACUGCUUUUAUCUGGGAAGAAAAGUCGGCAUUUAUGCUGAUCUGACGGUACCAGAGGAAUAAGCACCGGCUAACUCCGUGCCAGCAGCCG
rnacentral:rRNA from 1 species